AUUGAACGCUGGCGGCAUGCCUUACACAUGCAAGUCGAACGGCAGCACGGGUGCUUGCACCUGGUGGCGAGAGGCGAACGGGUGAGUAAAGUAUCGGAACGUGCCUGGUAGUGGGGGAUAACUAGUCGAAAGACUAGCCAAUACGGCAUACGAACUAAGGAUGAAAGCAGUGGACCAUCGGGACUUGUUCUAUCCGCGCGGCCGAUAUAUGAUUAGCUAGUUGGGGGGGGAAAAGCCCACCAAGGCGACGAUCAGUAGCUGGUCUGAGAGGACGACCAGCCACACUGGAACUGAGACACGGUCCAGACUCCUACGGGAGGCAGCAGUGGGGAAUUUUGGACAAUGGGGGCAACCCUGAUUCAGCAAUGCCGCGUGAGUGAAGAAGGCCCUCGGGUUGUAAAGCUCUUUUGUCAGGGAAGAAAAGGCUGUGGCUACUAUCCACAGCUGCUGACGGUACCUGAAGAAUAAGCACCGGCUAACUACGUGCCAGCAGCCGCAGUAA
rnacentral:rRNA from 1 species